UACGUAGGAGGCAAGCGUUGUCCGGAGUUACUGGGCGUAAAGGGCCCGCAGGCGGUGGAGUAAGUUUGGAGUGACAGUUCCCAGCUUAACCGGGGAAAGGACUUCGAAAACUGCUCGACUUGAGGACUGGAGAGGAAGGCGGAAUUCCGGGUGGAGCGGUGAAAUGCGUAGAUAUCGUCUGGAACGCCAAAGGUGAAAACAGACUGCUGGGGCUGUGCUGGACGCUGAGACACGAAAGCCAGGGGAGCGAACGGG
rnacentral:rRNA from 1 species